AAUAUUGGACAAUGGGCGAAAGCCUGAUCCAGCCAUGCCGCGUGUGUGAAGAAGGUCUUGGGUUUGUAAAGCAUUUUAAGUUGGGAGGAAGGUUUGUAGAUUAAUUCUCUGCAAUUUUGACGUUACUAAUAGAUUAAGCACCGGCUAACUUCGUGCCAGCACCUGCGGUUAUACGAAGGGUGCAAGCUUUAAUCGGAAUUACUGGGCGUAAAGCACGCGUAGGUGGUUCAGUAAGAUGGGUGUGAAGUCACCGGGCUAAACCUGGGAACUGCUUUCAUAACUGCUGAGCUAGAGUACGAUAGAGGGUAGAGGAAUUUCCUGUGUAGCGGUGAAAUGCGUAGAUAUAAGAAGGAACACCAGUGGCGAAGGCGACUACCUGGACUGAUACUGACACUGAGGAGCGAAAGCGUGGGGAGCAAAC
rnacentral:rRNA from 1 species